UGUUCCUUUUCAUUACACGAUGGCGUAUGAUUCAAUAUAAAGUUUUAAACGCUGUUUAUUGCUUGAAAUUUGUUUUCUUUAGAUUUUUGACGAAUUAUGCGGGAUUUUGCCGGAUUAUGCGGAAAUCGUUCGAUUGUGCGGAAAAAGGCAAAUUAUGCGGGUCCGCACCCGCGCAUCCUGUCAGAAGCCCUGCACAGAGCUUCACUUGAACACAUGAAUAUUCCAAAUCGUUCCAUAAUAUGAAAUCAAGGCUUACCCCGUGUAACAGAGAAUUAGAAACUGGAGUAAUAUUGGAUAUACUGUAUGUAACUAAUUAGGCCAGAAGCAAUGAUAUCAAGCAAGUGAAGACCAAAGUGAAUGGCACAAGCAUUAAGCAUGAAUACAGAUAAAACAAGAUUUUAAUAAUGUAAAGCAGCUUAUCUUAAUUGUAUAUUCUUGGUGUUCACCUACAUCAUCAUGCAUUUCAAAAGUGUAAGUUAUUCACAUUAUGACAUUAAAGUUUCAUAUAAUCUUGUAAA